rnacentral:sRNA from 1 species
CUUGGUCAUUUAGAGGAAGUAAAAGUCGUAACAAGGUCUCCGUUGGUGAACCAGCGGAGGGAUCAUUACCGAGUUUACAACUCCCAAACCCCUGUGAACAUACCUUAUGUUGCCUCGGCGGAUCAGCCCGCGCCCCGUAAAAAGGGACGGCCCGCCGCAGGAACCCUAAACUCUGUUUUUAGUGGAACUUCUGAGUAUAAAAAACAAAUAAAUCAAAACUUUCAACAACGGAUCUCUUGGUUCUGGCAUCGAUGAAGAACGCAGCAAAAUGCGAUAAGUAAUGUGAAUUGCAGAAUUCAGUGAAUCAUCGAAUCUUUGAACGCACAUUGCGCCCCCUGGUAUUCCGGGGGGCAUGCCUGUUCGAGCGUCAUUACAACCCUCAAGCUCUGCUUGGUAUUGGGCUCUGCCGGUCCCGGCAGGCCUUAAAAUCAGUGGCGGUGCCAUUCGGCUUCAAGCGUAGUAAUUCUUCUCGCUUUGGAGACCCGGGUGCGUGCUUGCCAGCAACCCCCAAUUUUUUCAGGUUGACCUCGGAUCAGGUAGGGAUACCCGCUGAACUUAAGCAUAUCAAUAAGCGGAGGAAAAGAAACCAACAGGGAUUGCCCUAGUAACGGCGAGUGAAGCGGCAACAGCUCAAAUUUGAAAUCUGGCUUUCGGGCCCGAGUUGUAAUUUGUAGAGGAUGAUUUUGAUGCGGUGCCUUCCGAGUUCCCUGGAACGGGACGCCAUAGAGGGUGAGAGCCCCGUCUGGUUGGAUGCCAAAUCUCUGUAAAUCUCCUUCGACGAGUCGAGUUGUUUGGGAAU